rnacentral:lncRNA from 1 species
AGUUAACCUGUUUCUUUUCAGUGAGCAGAAAGUAAAGUCAAAUCAAGAUGAAAACUUGUGAGAAAGAGCUCAGGAAUUAGUGACAAUGAAGUUAGGUAGUAAGAGAGUAAGGCUGAGAGAGAGAGUUGUGAGGACUAACUACAGAGGAAUCAGAGUUGUGCACAGGAGAAAGUGAGGAUGCCCAUAACCUGGGUAGUUUUCAGGUCUUUCAUGUCUGACUCAGCAGCUCUAACCUUUUCAUUAACCAGAGUUAGAAUUUUGAGCUUUAAGCAUGCAGCAAUCAGCAACUCCCCCAAAUAAAUUGCAAGGAGUCAUGCUUUAUGCAAACCUGUUACCUUCAUGAGUCAUUAGGAAAAUAUCUUGUGUCAACCUUGCUGGCUAUGUAGCUUCAUAUGAACUCACAAAUCUGUACUAUUUGAGACCAAAUCUCUUCUGCAGUCAUUGCUGCUGGGGCAUGUUGUUAAAGUUUCAGUAACAACUGUUUAAAGCCAUUCAAAUUCAAGCACAGGGACUUAUGUAUAGUUGGGAUUCAGUAUAUGUUUAUUAAUAAAUUCAUCAAUUAAAAUAAUCAAUUUCUUGGUGCUGGAAGAGGAGCUGUGUGUAAGUGGUGUGAAGUAGUUACCAAUGUCUUUAUAUUUUCUACAAAUAUAUCUUCUGAGUGUUGGUUUGGUAUGCUACACUCAGGUAUCUAUGAAUUUGUUAUUUAUUUUCAACUUGGAUUUGUUUUACAGAAGUCCUGCUGAACUUACAAGUUACAUACAGGAAGAAAUUUGGGAAGACUCUUUCCAUUCCAAAGAUGAAUGUUAUUGUCCUCAUUAAGAUAGAAACACUUUCUGGAUCCUAGUCUUCUCCAGAACCUUUCUCCCAUUGGAACACAAGCCUUUUGAAGAUGUUUGUGAUCAGAAGAUGAAUAAGACCUGGUUCGUGCCUGCGAGGACUCUGCAGAGUGCUGGGAGAGAGGAACGUGCAAGUCAGUACAGUCCACAGUGGUCACUUUGGCCUCUACAGCCAUGCCAUUCCAUGACUGCUAACACACCGCAGUUUCUCUUCUAUAUGUUGAAGAAUUUGCUGAUGGGAAGGAUGAAACCCUGCUCUUCUGAGAAAUGAGAUAUAUAUCAGGAAAAUUGGCUUGAGUCAUUAUAUGAAAGGC